GACGAACGCUGGCGGCGUGCUUAACACAUGCAAGUCGAACGAAGUGGCGAACGGGUGAGUAACGCGUAAUCAACCUGCCCUUCAGAGGGGGACAACAGUUGGAAACGACUGCUACUACCGCAUACUGAAGGAGGGGAUUGCGUCUGAUUAGCUAGUUGGAGGGGUAACGGCCAACCAAGGCGAUGAUCAGUAGCAGGUCUGAGAGGAUGAACGGCCACAUUGGGACUGAGCAACGGCCCAGACUCCUACGGGAGGCAGCAGUUGGGAAGCUUCCGAAAUGGACGAAAGUCUGACGGAGCAACACCGCGUGAGUGAUGACGGCCUUCGGGUUGUAAAGCUCUUGUAAUCGGGACGCGGUACCGGAAUAGAAAGCCACGGCUAACUACGUGCCAGCAGCCGCGGUAAUAC
rnacentral:rRNA from 1 species